rnacentral:rRNA from 1 species
AUUGAACGCUGGCGGCAGGCCUAACACAUGCAAGUCGAGCGAGCGGCGGACGGGUGAGUAAUGUAUGGGGACUGCCCGAUAGAGGGGGAUAACUACUGGAAACGGGGGCUAAUACCGCCUACUAUCGGCUACCCCAACUGGGAUUAGAUAGUUGGUGGGGGAAUGGCUCACCAAGGCGACGAUCACUAGCUGGUCUGAGAGGAUGCUAAGCCACACGUGGACUGGGACACGGCCCAGACUCCUACGGAGGCAGCAGUGGGGAAUAUUGCACAAGGGGCGCAAGCCUGAUGCAGCCAUGCCGCGUGUAUGAAGAAGGCCUUAGGGUUGUAAAGUACUUUCCGCGGGGAGGCGUUACCCGCAGAAGAAGCACCGGCUAACUCCGUGCCAGCAGCCGCGGUAAUAC